AUGUUACCAUCACCUGGCAUUACCCAGGAGGUAACUCGCAGAUGCCACACUGAUGGAAAGCUACGGCAGCGUGGUUCGAGUCCAGGGCCAGCUGGAGCAUAUCAGCAAGGUUGGGCUUGGACGUAUGUGCUCCACCCAGUGGGUGGGUCUGUGGAGCUGGGGUGUCGUGAGAGCCAGAGGGUCCUGGUAGAACCCUGCCAGAUGACAGGAAAGAACCAGUGGAAUCGAGGCAGGGAGCCGAAGGAGCUCAGGAAGGAGCGAGCCGUCACAGGGCGGGAGGCUCAGGAGCCAGCAGGAAUGGGUGCAAACUUCUAACAGGGACCUGACAAAAGAGAAGGAUUUCUUCUCUGCAAAGUGAAGGUCGGGGCUGGUUGGCAUUUGCCAUCUGUGACUAGCAGGGACCCAGGCUGCUGCCCGACUCCUGACCCUGCAACUCCUGCCCCUGUUCCCACCAGCAGGAAGAAGAGCGGGAAGUUGCCUUUUCCCCUUUAAGGGGAUGAGGUGAGAGUUGUGCCUGCCAUUUCGCUGGUCCCUGGGGUGAUUCUCCAGCAUGGAUGGAAGUUGGCUUUGGCGGCCUGAGCCCUGUGAAGCUGGGGUUGCUGUUCCCUGAGCAGCAGGAAGCCUGGACUCUGGGAAGUGGGGUCAGAGGGUAGCCUUUGCUGCAUCCACAGGAGGGGGCCCCUCAUUCCAGUUGACAUCAUCACUGCAGAGGGGGGUGUGGGCUUUCAUGGUCCAUUGAUAAAUAGAACGUUCCUUUUUUUUUUUUUUUUUUUUGGUAAAUCACAUCAAACCCUAAUUCCUUCAGCCUUUACUAAAGUUGCAUUUUGUAAUUCCACAUGAUUGCAUUAUACCUGCAGGAGAGAAUGCUUCCUGUAAACCAGAAGCCUCUCUGAGGUAAUUCUUGGCCCAUUCAGUGAGUUCAUUUUCCCAAGGUUAAAAACAGCCUCAGGAGGGGUUGAGGACGCACCGUGACAGUCUCAGGAGGGGUUGAGGAUACACCCGGGACACAGCCUCAGGAGGGGUUGAGGACGCACUGUGACAGUCUCAGGAGGGGUUGAGGACGCACUGUGACAGUCUCAGGAGGGGUUGAGGACGCACUGUGACAGUCUCAGGAGGGGUUGAGGAUACAGCCGGGACACAGCCUCAGGAGGGGUUGAGGACGCACCGUGAUAGUCUCAGGUCCUGGACAUGUGCCCAAGGUGUUUGGGGCACAACUUGGUCUAACACAUUUUAGGGAGAUGUGAGACAUCAAUAUAUGUGAGAUGUACGUUGGUUUGGUCCAGGUUUCCAGGUCACAGGUGGAUCAGAGACAGAUGCGUUUCCGGUGAGCCUUUCCGGAGAAAGCAGUAAGACCCGCAUUUAUCUCUGUGAGCAGAUGGUGACUUUGAGUUCUGCCCUCUGUCCCUGAGGAAUUUCCUUGUGGACCAACGGUUGUGAGGGAGGUACAUGCCUUUUUUUUCUUUCUUUUUUCUUCCAGUCUCUGUUAGGAGCCUGGGAGGCAAGUUUGCCCUAAGCCGUUCCCCACCUUGUCUUCCCUUUAGCUUAGUGAUUUCGGGGUCCUGAGAUGUACUUUCACUUCACACUUCUGAGCACACUGGCACUCUAAACAGUGUUGUACGAGGCCGUCUAACUGAUUUAGAAGAAGAAACUAUUUGGAAGGACUUGAGCACCUUUGUCCUUGAGAGAAACAAGCCUUUGUUUAUUUACCCCGAGGCUGUUACGCUGUUCCAGGGUGGGCGGCCUUAGAAAGCUGUGCCUCUCUGAGCGCCUGCCUGUGGAAUCUGGUGACUUUGAAGUUAAUCCAGCAGCUACAUGUUUUGGAAAGCAGGUUGUCUCUUAAAGUGUUGAUGAUUAUGAUUCUAACACCGGAAUUUCAACGUGUACUUUCCACCCUUCUUUCUUUGUCUCCUCAUACCCUGACAUUUGCCCUUAGAGUUCAUUGAGGGAGGGUCAGUUCUGGCCCUUUCUUUAGAUAUUGACCUUGAAUGGACAGAAUCGAGAUUCAGAAAAAUCCUUGAGCUGUGAGAGUGUGCCGAUAUCUAUGUAAGUGGAAUUCAUGUGUUAAACUCAGUAAGAGUUUAAGAAAUAUCAAUUCUAGGCUGGGCAUAGUGGCUCACACCUGUAAUCCCAGCACCUUGGGAGGCUGAGGUGAGUAGAUUCAGUUUUGAGCCCAGGAGUUUGAGACCAGCCUGGGCAACAUAGCAAGACCCUGACUCUACAAAAAAGUAGAUAGUGGUGGUGUGCACCUGUGGUCCCAGAUAGUCAGGAGGCUGCGGCUGGAGGAUCACCCAAGCCUGGGAAGUUGAGGCUGCAGUGAAUCAUGACAGCACCACUCUACUCAUGGUACACUGUGCCUGAGUGACAGAACAAGAACCCCUGCCACCACACACACACACACACACAAUCAAUUCUAAAUGGACAAAAAUGAGACCUUUUAAGUGGAAAAACAUCCUGUUUGGUUGCUCUACUUAGGUAACUGUUGACUCACUUGCCAGUAAGAAAAUGCAGUGACCAGUUCUGCUGGGACCAUCUGUUAAGGCUACUCUGGGCCUCAUGGUUUGAGAAGGAUCUGUCCAGGGGAGAGUGGGAGUGGCUUAAGGGCCUAGAAGCCAGUUCUUGUGGUUCAGUGUGACUGCGGGUGUGGAGCUGGGGGCAGGGCUCUCCAGGGCAUGAGUGGGUAAACAGAUGGGCUUCCAGGAUGAGCCCCUGUGACUUUGCCUGGUUUACAUCCAUCCAAUACAGAUCCACAGGCUCUUACUCUAGAAGCUUCUGCCCGGGCUGAUGGACUGGCCUGGGGCCAGAGGGUGCCUUCUGGUUUAGCAAGAGCACUUAGUCACCUAGAUCUAGGAUUUAUGGCACUACAGGGGACUUGUCACACUUGGAGCAGCAGCCAUCUGCAUUCUAGACUUGGUUCUAGGCGAAGUAUUUUGGAGGCUGUUGGUACUCUGUGUUCUGUUUAUCUGUAAAACAAGUUAGAGUUGUAACUAUUUUUAAAAUUUUGCCACAGAAUAUGGCAGUUGUGGUAGAGCUUGUCCAGAGGCCCCAACACUCAGACACUACCAUGUGCUGGGGUUGCAAGCUUUGUCUGCAUCGGCUGCUCCUCCUGCCGUGUCUGUGUUCUUGACACAGGAGCCCAUUGAGGCUCGGCCUGUGGGACUCGUGCAGCCAUUUGUCCGUGUUCCUCUGAGGUUCCGCAGACUUCACGGUCCCGUGGCAGAGCGUACGGUAUCUACUUGCAUCCUGAUUUCCCCAAACCCCAGGACAGGCCAAGAAUUCCUUACACACAAAUGCAGAGGGCCCCGUGGUGUGGAUUUGCAAGUGACACAGCUUUUCCCCAGCUCGGCCUUCGCCUCCAGAGUUGGCUUUAGGGCGAUAGAAGCUUCCAUCAGACUGGGGGGCCCUGAAGCUUUGGUGGUAGGAAUUGGGUGACCAGCACGGAUGAUACCCCUUUUAUAUUUGUAGCAAUAGUUGUUAACACGACCACGAGUUGUACAGAGAAAGGAAAAAAGGAGGUUUUAUUUUCAGAGUAAGUCUGUGCUUUGGGAAAUGUGGUCUCGGGGGAGCUGUAAGCACGCGCCCCUCAGGAGCAGGGGAGGUGGCGGCGUUAAACGUUCCGGUUUUUGUUCGCUGUGUGUGUUCAUCGGGUUCAUGGAAUGUCUGAAUACUUAUGGGGAAAGUCUAGCACACGCGUAAUGAGUUAACCUGUAACAUCCAUGUUUGCCUUGGGGCUAGCGUAACGUUAGAAAUGAGGUGGACUCAGCGUGUCAUGUACAAAGGUGAGCUUUUGGGCGCAGACGUUUAUGCGCAGCCUCAGUCACAGCCAGGAGUGGCUCAGGGUCUGCGGCUUCUGGCGGGAAAGGACACUCACGAGGCCAUUCUGUCCAGUCGGGGCUGCCGGCAGGGUCCCAGGGUGGGGUUGUCUGGUCGGCCAGGGUCGGAAGUGCACCCGGGUCCCGUGGGCAGCGUUCCUCUAAACCAGGUUUCUGUCUGAUGGCGGAGGAGACUUCAGGCUGAUUAACAAACUGUACAGGAGUUACUGUCGUGGGGCUUCAG
rnacentral:lncRNA from 1 species